rnacentral:rRNA from 1 species
AUACGGAGGCUACGAGCGUUAUCCGGAUUUAUUGGGUUUAAAGGGAGCGUAGGUGGACUGUUAAGUCAGUUGUGAAAGUUUGCGGCUCAACUGUAAAAUUGCAGUUGAAACUGGGAGUCUUGAGUACCGUAGAGGUGGGCGGAAUUCGUGGUGUAGCGGUGAAAUGAUUAGAUAUCACGAAGAACUCCGAUUGCGAAGGCAGCUCUCUAGACUGUUACUGACACGGAUGCUCGAAAGUGUGGGUAUCAAACAGGACUAGAUACCCUGGUAGUCCACACAGUAAACGAUGAAUACUCGCUGUUUGCGAUAUACAGUAAGCGGCCAAGCGAAAGCAUUAAGUAUUCCACCUGGGGAGUACGCCGGCAACGGUGAAACUCAAAGGAAUUGACGGGG